AUUCUGUGAGAGGAACUCCAGGAGACCAGAUCCAACUCGCAAUCAGCUAUAGUGAAGUUAUGAUAUGAGAAGCACCAACUUGGCACAAGACUUGGGAAAGGCAAUGAGGCAGCAGGCAAGCUUUAAGGGAUGACACUUACCUUGAGGGAGCAAGGACAAGUUGUGACCUUCCCAGUCCUCUCUCCAUUUGCAGAUCAGCAAGCUUCUGUCAGCAAGGAGGGGUGGACAAUGAAACUGGGUUCAGCUUGAUUUGUUUUUUGAGACAGGUAUGGCAAGGGGCUGCCAACAAGAUCAAGCUGCAGAGGAAACAGCCACCUGGGGCGUGUUCUUACGUUGCCUGGAAGCUGCACAAGAGGCCAAGUCAAAACAUGCAGAAUUCCAGUUGCCCAUGAUGUCACAGGCUGAGGCCCACACUCCAGAGACACUGUGGACUGACUGGCACCUAUGAGCUGACCUAAUAACAGUUACACCAUUACAGCUCCGAUUCUACAGAACAAUACAUAUCCAGUUCUUA
rnacentral:lncRNA from 1 species